GAUGAAGAACGCAGUGAAAUGCGAUACGUAAUGUGAAUUGCAGAAUUCAGUGAAUCAUCGAAUCUUUGAACGCACAUUGCGCCCGCCAGUAUUCUGGCGGGCAUGCCUGUUCGAGCGUCAUUACAACCCUCAGGCCCCCGGGCCUGGCGUUGGGGAUCGGCGGAAGCCCCCUGCGGGCACAACGCCGUCCCCCAAAUACAGUGGCGGUCCCGCCGCAGCUUCCAUUGCGUAGUAGCUAACACCUCGCAACUGGAGAGCGGCGCGGCCACGCCGUAAAACACCCAACUUCUGAAUGUUGACCUCGAAUCAGGUAGGAAUACCCGCUGAACUUAAGCAUAUCAAUAAGCGGAGGA
rnacentral:misc_RNA from 1 species